UUCGUGGUCUUUUUCGGUUUUGUCAGUGACGUGACAGCAAUGGGAAAAAGUGUUGACCGUCGUUUGCGAGCUAUGGUUUUAACACCCGUUAAAAGCCAAUAGGAGUGUUUCCGACACCAUCAAGUAUACAUAUGUAUGUAUAUGUACACAUAUUAUUGAUCAUCAUCAGUGUUGAAACAUAUGUACAUACAUAUGUACAUACAUACUGUAUCUGUACGAAAUUAGGUGUAAUAGCAGUCACACACACCACACUAAAGCCAUUGUUCUUAACGACGCCAAAUUGAAAAUUCGGUACUUCCAGUAGAUCAACACACUUCUAAAUCUGCACAAAUUCAGCACAGGAUGGCCGUUGCUUUCCCAUUUAUAUUAACAUACAUCUCAGUAAAUAGCAAUUAAUAUAUGUAUGUAAUUAUAACUAUGUUCUUACAUCCGGUUCCGAGGACACAUCACUUUCGACAUUGUAACAUAUUCAGAGUCUUCAAAACAAGUCUCUGUUACUUGGUAUAAAUUAAAUUUAUGCAUUGCUUAAAUAAAUAUGGCUUUAAAUCUGC